rnacentral:lncRNA from 1 species
UCUGUGAAAGUCAUUUGACCGUUGGAUAUCACAUUUUCAUUAUCAACAAAAUGAGAUUAACACUGCUUUUGCUUCCUCACAGGACUGUUGAAAGACCCAAAUAUCGGAAGUAUACUUUGAAAAGCAUAAGAAAAAAAUGCAAACACAAGCAAUGAAGUACUCUUUCUACGAGCAGUUACAAGCACAGAAAAUGUUGCCUACCGUAGAAUCAAAGACUUCCUUGAAAUUAUAUUACAUUUAAGGUAAUUAAUAUCAUUAAUAUGAGAUGUAAUCUUUACAUGUUUUAGCUACUAAUAUUGAAAUAGAGAUGAUUUGGAUAUUUGCUGUGGAUUUUUUUUCUAAGGCAUUUAA